rnacentral:lncRNA from 1 species
ACAUGACACAAGCAGUCUGGAACAAAAGCGAGAGCUGAAUGAACUCAUUUGCCUCUCAGUUCAGUGCCUCAGUCACAAAAUGAUCCUGUAAAAUAACUUUGCUGAGGAGCUGUGAAAAUCAAGGAUGAAGAGAUUAAAACUUUAGGGGAAGAAAUACCAAGUGCUUUUGGUUGAAUUUAUCAGAUUAUUGAAAAGUAGAAGGAGCAAUUGGCUAGACCAGUGUGUGAAUCUGUCUUUUCAUCUGCUCUUUUGCAGCUACAUCGUUCCCAAGGGUCACUGAGGUCCUAACCAAGACACUGCUGUGUGCAUAAAACCCUGGGCUCACAUGCUCCAUCUGGAGCAAGAGGAGUGUUACUUGUCUUCAUUCUAGCGUAGCAUUUCAGAGUCUGAAUUUUAUAUUUGUCUCUCACUUUGCAUUUGUACAGCACCUUGUAAAACUGGGCUUUUAUGCCUGCUAAACUUUUAUUCCUGAUAUUAUACAAUUAAUGUUGGAAUUAAAAAUAAUUUCAAAUUAAAUGAAUACUAAUCUGAUUGCUAACUGAAACUUAUCAUGCAUUUCAUACAAUUAUGUAUGAAAAUCAAGAUUAUGAAAAAAAAUGAUGUGAU